AUAUAAGCAGGUUAACAGCAAAGUAUCCAUAUUUCAUACUUAUCACUAUGAUAUAAAGAAAACUCAAGAACACUAACGUUAAAACACUAGAAAUUAUCAAAAUUUUAAUAAUCUACCUGGUAAUAACUGAUUGAAUCAAGGAUCAUACAGGAUACAAAAAAAUCAGAUCAAAGUUUAUUGGAAAAGGACAUUUACAUGAUCUCAAUCUAUCUCCCCAUAGAUUAAUUAUUAAUAACAAAGGGAAAAAUGGUAACUUUAGAGAAAAUAAGCUUGUUGGACACCACCUUAACCACGGCAUUUACGUUAACAUCGUUAGUAAGUGAAGAAACAGGCAUCGUGUAUGUAAUGCACAGGAAGGACACACCAUCUUUUAUGUAGAUCUCUUAAACAACGCUCCUGCCAAAAAAUGCAAAACCUGAACAAAUUUAUGAAGAAACAGAACCAAAAUGAGGAACAUUCUGAAAAAACAACUGGCCUUUGAAAAUACCAAUGUCCUGAAAGUCAAAGAGAAUAAUUUCCACUGGAGGAGAUUAAGGGAAAACAAAAAAACAUGGCAACUACAUUAAGUGCAUGAUUCCAGACUAAUCAGUUGGGGAAAAUGCUAUAAAGAUACUAUUGGGAAACCUAUCAAAAUUUGAUAGACUGUCAAAAUCCCCAUAUAAUAGAAAUGUACUAAAGUUAAUUUUCUGAAUAUGAUCAUUGUACUGUGGUACAGUAUACAGAAUUUCAUUGUGCUAUUCUUGCUUCUACAGAUUUGAAUUUUUACAAAAUUAAAAAAAAAAAAAAAAAAGGAAAUCUUAAUAGUCUCUUUCCAGAGGGGGAAAUUUUUUUUUCUUCAUUUAAAGAUAAAAGUCUUAAUACAUUAUAUUUCAAUUACAAACAUUUUUAAAAGUUAAAUGAGGUGCUAUGAACUAGAUAUGAGGUAUUCAAGAAAUGUGUUUAAAUGCAAUUGAAAUUCAGGUAUAACCUUUACUGAAAAACUGGUGGGGUGGUGAUAUUGGAAUGAUUCCACUUAUGCACACUGAUAUUUCAUAUAAAGUAUUUACUCAAAUGAAGGGAGAAGAAUAUCAGGUGGGGGAAAAUAUAAUUUUUAGUUACAAGGCAUCGUGUUAACUAACAGCCUUCCACACAUUAUCUUAUGUAAGCCUUACAGCAACAUUAUGAAAUAUUACCUCCAUCACCUUAUUUCAGAUGAAAAGACUCAGAAAAGUUAACACGUUGCUCAAAGCCACACAGCUAAUAAAUGCAAAACAAAAAUUCAAAACUGUAUUCCUCAGAUUCCAACAUUUAAGCCACAGGUCAGAGCCUUAUUUAUAAAGAAUAAAAGGUAAAGUGCUCCCUAAAUUAAGGAUAAUGAUUGGAUAAUGUCCAGAAUAAGGGGAAGAGAAUGAUUAAAUUCAUGUAAGAUAAAACUAUAAGAAGGCAAUUUUAGACCAUGUUAGAAUUUGUUUUUUAUUCUUAGAGCAAUAUAAAGAUACUGGAGGACUUUUAAAACUGGAGGUGAAAUGACUAGCUUGGAGUGGCAGGGACUGACUACAGUGUGAAGAAAAACUCAAAGAAAUAUAAAAAGAAUAGAAAGGCCAGAGCUCCCAAAAUGAAUCUGUGAAGGAACUUAUUAGCAAAUCAUCUCUCCUGAAAGCAAGGAAAAAACAGGAAAAGAUUUUCAAACAUAACGUCUCUGAAAAUUGAUCAAAUGAUAUACAACAAAAUGAGAAGCACUUAUUCAAGAAAAUUUGGUAAAAUCUCAGUUAAGAAAUACAGUAUCUCAGCUAGAGGUUACUAGCUAGCAUCACCAUCCACAGUACUGCUAGGUUUGUGGCACGGAAGUUCUACCCCAAGCGGCCACAGCAGGCCAUAAAGACUGGCAGCUAACUGGCCCUGAAAGACAGGGCUGAAUUUAUUUCAAGCGCUUAACGGAAAAAUCUGUGCCUAGGAAUAGUGUCAAAAAACGAGGGCUCUCUCAGUGGCAAACAAUCCCAGCAGCAAUGGUUGAGGAAGGCAACAAAAUGGCACACCAGACGUAAAUUUAAUAAGGAGAUCCUGGGUAAGAGACAACUAAAGAGGGCCCCCUAAAAUGCACACUCAUCCUUGUUGGUCAGGAAGGCUGUGUGCAUGCAUGAGGCUGCUCCGGCUCAAGAGACACCAGAGAGAACCCUUGAAAAUUAGUCUCUGGCUGAAUGUGGGAUGAACAUUAAACCUUCUAAAAUUUGAAAAGAUUCCCCAAACCACGAACAGAUUCAAAGAAAAAUGAUGAAACAUUUACUGGCUCAAGACAUUUAGGUAAUCAAUCAUUAGCAGACCACUAAAAUACAGUGAUCCAGGGGCAAACCCUAGAAAGUCAGGCAUACAAAAA